AACGAACGCUGGCGGCAGGCCUAACACAUGCAAGUCGAGCGAGAUUUUCGGAUCUAGCGGCGGACGGGUUAGUAACGCGUGGGAAUAUGCCCAAUGGUAGGGAAUAGCCUCUGGAAACGGAGAGUAAUACCCUAUGAGCCCUUCGGGGGAAAGAUUUAUCGCCAUUGGAUUAGCCCGCGUUGGAUUAGGUAGUUGGUGGGGUAAUGGCCUACCAAGCCGACGAUCCAUAGCUGGUUUGAGAGGAUGAUCAGCAACACUGGGACUGAGACACGGCCCAGACUCCUACGGGAGGCAGCAGUGGGAAUCUUCGGCAAUGGGCGCAAGCCUGACCGAGCCAUGCCGCGUGAGUGAAGAAGGCCUUAGGGUCGUAAAGCUCUUUCGCCAGGGAUGAUAAUGACAGUACCUGGUAAAGAAACCCCGGCUAACUCCGUGCCAGCCGCCGCGGUAAU
rnacentral:rRNA from 1 species